UGUAUUAAAUACGUUUUCCAGGCUGAAGGUGAAAAAUUGAGUUCCUCACUGCAGUUCAUGUACAUCAAACAUGAUCAAGCAGGAGUUAUCGCCACUGUAGCCGAUGGUGCAACGAUAACCAUCAACCCAAAUGUCGGUUUAGGUCAAGCAAAAGGUGAGAUCUCCGAAAAGUUGGGUUCCUUUAUAGAGCUGGCAUGGACAAACCCAACAAGGCAGCAGGCUGGAAGCUACUUGUGCUUGGCCCAGUUCAAGAAAGCAGACGGCAAGGAAGUUGUCUUGACCUCCAAUCUGAGUGUUGAAUUUGAACAAUGCUGUGACGAUGUGGGUGGGAACUAAAAGAGACUCGUUUGACCACAGUGUCAGUGUAAUGACCUUUGCCCUACUUCUACUGGUGUUGGAAUAAAAUAAAUAAAUAAAGUUAUGGAUUCAACAAUUUUACGAUGUUACCCUUUUUUUUUCUUAAAUGUUCUUUUUAUUUUAAAUUCAGAACCUCAACUUUAGUCUUGGUACUGGAACAUUCCCUAUGUAUUUAUUAGUCUUGUUAAUGAAACAUUCCGUAAGUAUUUAUUAGUCUUGUACUGAAACAUUCCAUAUGUAUUUAUUAGUCAUGUUAAUGAAACAUUCCCUAAGUAUUUAUUAGUCUUGUACUGAAACAUUCCAUAUGUAUUUAUUAGUCAUGUUAAUGAAACAUUCCCUAAGUAUUUAUUAGUCUUGGUACAGAAACAUUCCCUAUGUAUUUAUUUCAUUAUAUUUACUAGUUUGAUCUUCACUAGGUCAUGUGGCUAUUUGAGAAUGUUUACGCCCACCCUAUGCUCGUAGUUAGUGUCACCCUCGACUGCAUUUUCAGUCUAGUAAACUGGUUCAGUAGGUCAGAAUAGAUCAAAAGUAAUGACACUUACCAGCGAAGCUUCAAGUUGAGACCUUGACCAAUUGUUAUGUAAUACACUGGCGGCAGACAAAAAAGUCAAUGAAGAAUCCUUGGUGUUUCUCGAUACGUCUUUAGUCAAGAUUAGAAAAGAAAGCGCGAGAUGUUAGAGUUUCUUAUAAAAUAUUGCAUGAUGUCAGUCGAGCUAGGUUACUAUAUUACCAGUUAACGUUUGUAACACUUCUACUGUUUAUAUGAUUUAAAUUUAAAUGAUUUAUAAUAUUAUUGUAACAUCAUUACGCCCUGCAGAUUGAGUUCAUUUCUGUAGAUUGACUUUGAAAGGAAUAAACUUCCAUAAACUUG
rnacentral:sRNA from 1 species